AAAUGCGAUAACUAAUGUGAAUUGCAGAAUUCAGUGAAUCAUCGAGUCUUUGAACGCACAUUGCGCCCCCUGGUAUUCCGGGGGGCAUGCCUGUCCGAGCGUCAUUGCUGCCCUCAAGCCCGGCUUGUGUGUUGGGUCGCCGUCCCCCUCUCCGGGGGGACGGGCCCGAAAGGCAGCGGCGGCACCGCGUCCGAUCCUCGAGCGUAUGGGGCUUUGUCACAUGCUCUGUAGGAUUGGCCGGCGCCUGCCGACGUUUUCCAACCAUUCUUUCCAGGUUGACCUCGGAUCAGGUAGGGAUACCCGCUGAACUUAAGC
rnacentral:misc_RNA from 1 species